AUGAAGAACCCUGGCUCACAAGCCCUGCUUCCUUUAUAUCUUCCCUGGGAAGCCAAGCUGGCAGAUGAGAAUCCACUCCUGAAAGUAGUCAUUUUCUUAUGCCUCUUGACAUUUGGACAUGGGAAGUUGGAGCAACCUGAAAUAUCAAUUUCCAGAGCAAGAGAUGAGACUGCACAAAUAUCCUGUAAAGUUUUCAUCGAAAGCUUUAGAAGUGUAACCAUACACUGGUACCGGCAGAAACCAAACCAAGGUUUAGAGUUUCUGUUAUACGUCCUUGCAACCCCUACCCAUGUUUCCUUAGGUAAGGAGUACAAGAAAAUGGAGGCAAGUAAAAAUUCUAGUGCUUCUACAUCGACAUUGACAAUAUAUUCCUUGGAGGAAGAAGACGAAGCUAUCUACUACUGUUCCUACGGCUUUCACAAGGUAUUUGCAGAAGGAACUAAGCUCAUAGUAAUUCCCUCCGACAAAAGNCUUGAUGCAGACAUUUCCCCCAAGCCCACNAUUUUUCUUCCUUCUGUUGCUGAAANAANUCUCCAUAAGACUGGGACAUACCUUUGUCUCCUUGAAAAGUUCUUUCCCGAUGUCAUAAGGGUGUAUUGGAAAGAAAAGAAUGGCAAUACUAUCCUGGACUCCCAGGAAGGUGAUACGCUGAAGACUAACGACACAUACAUGAAGUUUAGCUGGCUUACUGUGCCUGAAAGGUCAAUGGGGAAAGAGCACAGAUGUAUUGUCAAACACGAGAACAACAAAGGAGGAGUAGAUCAAGAGAUUUUCUUUCCUUCAAUAAAGAAAGUUGCUGUGAGUACUAAGCCUACAACUUGCUGGCAAGAUAAAAAUGAUGUGCUGCAGCUCCAGUUCAUGAGCACCUCUGCCUACUACACCUACCUUCUCCUGCUCCUCAAGAGUGUGAUCUACUUGGCCAUUAUCAGCUUCUCUCUGCUUAGAAGAACAUCUGUCUGUUGCAAUGAGAAGAGGUCCUAAAGAAACGAGUGGUGGUACAGCAAGUCAGCUGGAUUUCAUCCUCACUGUUAUAAAGGUGCCUUAAG